GAAAGGCCAACUCUGUCAAGUCCUAUAAACUCAUUCUUUGAGGAGCAGACACGUCCCAGAGACCUGGCUUUGAACCUGGAGCAGGAGCAACUUCUCAGGGAUGGAGCAGCCCCGGAGUGAGGCCUGGGAAGGGCUGGAAAACCUCCCAAGACGCACCUUUGAAAGCCUUUUUGUGCUUGCACGAGGCCACCGUGGAAUAAUAUGAAAAAUAGCGUUUUAAAAAUAAACCCAGACAGUUUA